ACGCACGAUUCACACAAGAACACACAGAUUUACUCAGGUUCGGAGCCCUCUUGCCGAGGAGGAAGAAGAAGAAGGGGAAACCCUAAAAUGUCUAGGUGCUCGAUGUCCUCUCCAGGGAGGUGUAGUGCUCUAUUUAUGGGCCAGGCAUGUCACACUGACAUGCGGGCCGAGUCUAACAUCACCUUCCUUGGGCGCCGCCAGGCAUGCGGCUCGGUUCCCUCCAGGCAGUACCGCAGGGGACAAGACAACUUUACUUUUUCCUACCGGCCUGCAACGGGUACAGCUAUCCUCUGCCGGCUUCCGUCAUAGACUCCCUUUCGGUGCUUCUUUAGCGUGGUCACCUGACACCAGUACGCAGGCGCUGACUGCUUUUCUGAGAUGAUGAUGGCGCAGCUUUACUUUGUAACGCGUGGUCAGGAUAAGACCGUUGAAGGAUCUCGGCACUGCCGAGGUCAAGGGGCUCGUCCUUAUCCUGCAAACUUACAAGAUAAGAAAACUAUGUCGGCAUACGCCCGGAUGCCGGCUUAUCGUUAGUUUAACUUUAUGAUGCCGGCAUACGUUGCUAUGCCGGCUUUGCCUCCGUUAUCUCGGCUAGAGUUGUGUCGCCAUGACCCUACCCGGAGUCAUCCCCCCAACAUUAUGUAAAUGUAUGUAUACUAUGUGCUUCUAUCUUGUAAUGCCAUGGAAACUGUUUAAUUCUUACUGAAAGCUUUGUAUGUAAAGACGGUAUUGUA